AUGGCCCUCAUCACCGCACAGAAACGACGCAACCACGUGUCAGCAUCAAUAAUCUUCAUCCAACAACAACGUUGGCACAAUGAUUGGCAAUGCAUAGAGCACAAGGAAACGAGUGAGUGGCGGAGAGUAUCGAUGUUGAGGAGAUUAGUGAAACAAAGGCUACAGAGGCGAGCGGCUAGCCACGAAGACAAACAAAUUCAGAGCGAGGUGAAGAGGUUGUGUCCGCUACGGAAGGAGGAAGACGAAGGCCGAUUGAAGCGGCGGUGGAGGUGA